rnacentral:rRNA from 1 species
CAAGGUUGAAACUCAAAGGAAUUGACGGGGGCCCGCACAAGCAGUGGAGUAUGUGGUUUAAUUCGAAGCAACGCGAAGAACCUUACCAGGGCUUGACAUCCCUCGAAGUGCAUAGAGAUAUGUACGUCCUUCGGGACGAGGAGACAGGUGGUGCAUGGUUGUCGUCAGCUCGUGUCGUGAGAUGUUGGGUUAAGUCCCGCAACGAGCGCAACCCUUACUUUUAGUUGCCAGCAGGUAAAGCUGGGCACUCUAGAGGGACUGCCGGUGACAAAUCGGAGGAAGGUGGGGACGACGUCAAAUCAUCAUGCCCCUUAUGUCCUGGGCUACACACGUACUACAAUGGCUGUUACAACAGGAAGCGAAGCCGUAAGGUGGAGCAAAUCCCCAAAAGCAGCCCCAGUUCAGAUUGUGGGCUGAAACCCGCCCACAUGAAGUCGGAAUUGCUAGUAAUGGCAGGUCAGCAUACUGCCGUGAAUACGUUCCCGGGCCUUGUACACACCGCCCGUCACACCAUGAGAGUCUGCAACACCCGAAGUCAGUAGACUAACCGUAAGGAGGUCGCUGCCGAA